UGAUGACCUGGGUCGGGAGGUGCACGAA
rnacentral:piRNA from 1 species